UGUCACAGGAUGUCUCAUCUGUUUUACCUGG
rnacentral:piRNA from 1 species